rnacentral:ncRNA from 1 species
AAGGGGUGCCAUGCGGCUGAGAUUAUACCCUAUGAACCUGAACCGGGUAAUUCCGGCGGAGGGAUUGUUAA